rnacentral:rRNA from 1 species
GCACAAGCGGUGGAUGAUGUGGAUUAAUUCGAUGCAUCGCGAAAAACCUUACCUACCCUUGACAUGUCCGGAAUCCUGGAGAGAUUCGGGAGUGCUCGCAAGAGAACCGGAACACAGGUGCUGCAUGGCUGUCGUCAGCUCGUGUCGUGAGAUGUUGGGUUAAGUCCCGCAACGAGCGCAACCCUUGUCAUUAGUUGCCACCAUUCAGUUGGGCACUCUAAUGAGACUGCCGGUGACAAACCGGAGGAAGGUGGGGAUGACGUCAAGUCCUCAUGGCCCUUAUGGGUAGGGCUUCACACGUCAUACAAUGGUCGGUACAGAGGGUCGCCAACCCGCGAGGGGGAGCCAAUCCCACAAAGCCGAUCGUAGUCCGGAUUGGAGUCUGCAACUCGACUCCAUGAAGUCGGAAUCGCUAGUAAUCGUGGAUCAGCAUGUCACGGUGAAUACGUUCCCGGGUCUUGUACACACCG